rnacentral:rRNA from 1 species
CCGAUGGAGGGGGAUAACUACUGGAAACGGUAGCUAAUACCGCAUAACGUCGCAAGACCAAAGAGGGGGACCUUCGGGCCUCUUGCCAUCGGAUGUGCCCAGAUGGGAUUAGCUAGUAGGUGGGGUAAAGGCUCACCUGGGCGACGAUCCCUAGCUGGUCUGAGAGGAUGACCAGCCACACUGGAACUGAGACACGGUCCAG